rnacentral:rRNA from 1 species
CGUAGGCUGCAACCCGCCUGCGUGAAGUCGGAAUCGCUAGUAAUCGCGGAUCAGCAUGCCGCGGUGAAUACGUUCCCGGGCCUUGUACACACCGCCCGUCACACCAUGAGAGUCGGGAACACCCGAAGUCCGUAGCCUAACCGCAAGGAGGGCGCGGCCGAAGGUGGGUUCGAUAAUUGGGGUGAAGUCGUAACAAGGUAAC